GUUCUCUCCAAUUUUUUUUUUUUUUCACUUCUAAAUGCCAGCUUCAGGCUUCUAAACCAUUAAACCCCCUUCUUUAUCCCGAGCAAAAUACUGUCAUAGACAAUGCCAUGGCAGGACAAUGAUGAUUCCGAUGAUAUAGUUCUCCCAGGCAGGAUACAAACCAUUUCGUCUUCUGGCCGGAGAUGGAUUCACUGCCCUCCCUGCAGACACGCAGGCUCACACACGGAGCACUGGGAAGUACACAUUUACUGUACUGCAUGCCGACUGCCUUGAAGAAACUGUAGCUAACCACCUUAUUAGUAUUCUUGCCUCCACCGUGUCUCACUUGCAGCAUCAGAGGGCUGAGCAAAUGCAGUAGAACAGGGACAGACACAGCUCUGGCAAUCAUAUCAAUGCAGGCUGCCGAAUGUUGGGGGUGGGGGAUGCAGCACAUCAAGAUUAAUAACCUUGCCAUAAUCCGGGGCACCCUGCAAGCAGACACCUCUGCUGAUUGACCUGCUCCUGGCUUGAUGCAUCUGCCUGGGGGAGAGGGAUCUGGAAUCUACCUAGUCCUGGGCCCCCCCUGAUUUUGGAUGUUCAUUUGAUCCUUCACAGAUCUGGGAAGGUAACAGUGAGCGGUACCAUCUGCAGCACACAGCAGCUCUUGGAGGUUACUACUGACAGUUUACAUUACACUGGUUUGUGUGAGUGCGUGCGUGUGUUUGUGUGUGUUUGUGAGUGUGGGUGCCUGCUUUUGCAUGAAAGAGAAUGUGUGAGUGUCCGUGUGUGUGUGUGUGUUAGUGUGGCAACCAAAGCAGGUAUUUCGUACAGUAGGAGAUUUCAACAGCGUGACAAUAUUCUCUGGGUACUUGGGCUCACAGUCAGUAGCCCCCACCCCCCGCCUUUCGCCACCUCCUUGCUUCCCCACUCCCCCUUCUGCUUUUGCCUUUGAUGAGUUUUUGGCUUACUUUUUGGCGGAGUCUCUUGGACACGUUUUUGCUGGUGCUGGAAGAUCAGAUACAUGGAACCUUUGAAAACUGAUGCUUUUUCUCCGAUAUGACUUAAAAAAAAAUAAAAAGAAGAAAAGAAAAUAGAGUAGUGCACGGCAAGCUAGAGGAUUGUAAAUUUCCCUUGGUGAACUUUGAGGAUCCACAAGGAAGAAAUGGUUCUCUUUAUUGCGAGGCUGCAAGGUCACCCAAUGAGAAAGGGGCCAAAUAAGCUGAAACAUCAUCUAAUACACUGAAUGAGUUACUGAAAAAGCAAGGAUAACUUAUGUGGAUUAACGAUAUGGAAACAUCCUGAAACUACUUUGGAAUCACCAUAAAUUAAGUGGAUUCAAAUUUUGCAAACAGGGAAACCAGUCCAUGAACAAUUUGCUACAGGUAAGUGAGAGACAUCAUUUACCCGAUGAGAAUCCUUCAAAAAUUCAUUGUCUAUGGGGUUGUUAAUAACAUUUCAGAUAAUUCUAAUUCUCCUUUGGUACAGCUGACAACUUCUCUUCCCUCCCGAAUGUACACAUGUGGAUACUGGCAUAUGGCUAAAUGUCUAGCCACUUCAUCUUGUUCAUUUGGGCUUCAUUCAGGUACAAAAAGAGAAAGCAGGGGGAAAAAGUUCCCACCUCAUAAAACUUUUACCAGUAGUGAUUUAUGCAGAAGGGCAGGAGUCAAACUGUUUCCAAACAGAUGUUUCUGAGCACUACCAUGGGAGUUAAAAGAGUGGCAGAUUGGCCUACUUGGUAUUCAGAAUAAAACAGGUGGACAAAUGGUGAAGCCCCAGCUCCUAUUUUUGAAACUGGGGCAGUGGUUCAGUUAUUCAUAUGGAACAAAGUGUUUGGGAAUGGUUGCUGGCUUUCGAUUGUCUCUGAAAACCUGAAGAAAUUGGAAAGCUUGAUGUGGUGACAGCAGGAAAAUAUUUUCUGUUGGGCUAUUGGCUAACUUCCACUUGUCUGAAGGAACCAGUGGGGAAGAAUGAAAGUCUAAGUAAUUUAGAACAAGUGGCAGUUUGUAAGCUGGAGGAUUGGGUUGUAGCAUCCUCUGUAGUUAAUAAUUGUUAUACCAUCAAGAGUCAAGGAGACUCACACCUAGAAAUAGGAGCUACCUAGCUCUGCACAAUUGAAACAAUCUCUUCAUUCAUCUGUGGGGUUUCACUGUGUUAAGGUGAAAAAAAGAUCAAAUUUUAGUUAAGCACCAUUCAGGGUAGGGAAGAAGUCUGUACUUUCCCUUUUAACUGGCAACUACUUGAAUUAUUUGUGCUGUCUUAAGGCAUAAGUAGAUGUGUUAUAAGUAGACCGGAAAUGAAGGUAAAAGGUAUUGCUCAUGCAUUUUCCUGUUAAUAUUUAGCUUUGCAUUUAUAACAGCUAUCUGUCCUACAUUCAUAAGUCAUGAUUCUCCCAGAAGACAAAUCUUUCUUUCAUCAACUCCAUCACAUUAUGUAGAUUAAGCUGAAUAGAAGAUAUGUUAAUCUAUCUUCAGGGAUAUCACUUUAUUUGGAGAGUCACAUAAGAACCUAGAUAUGAAUGCAUUUACAAGUGUGAAGUGCUCUGUAAAGAUGAUGAAGCAAUGGUAAGGUAAAGAUAAGGUACCAGCCACUCAAGAGAAAUAUCAACCAAAAGAGAGAGAAGACAUGAAUCUUAUUUUUUAAACAUAUGUAAUUGUUUUUUUUUUCCUUGCCUUCAAACUUAGUCUUUCUAUUUAUACACAAGGAAG